UACAGAGGUCCCAAGCGUUGUUCGGAAUCACUGGGCUUACAGGGUGCGUAGGCGGCGGGGAAAGUAGGGUGUGAAAUGCCUUGGCUCAACCAAGGCACAGCGCUCUAAACUACCUCGCUCGAGUGAGUCAGGGGUACGCGGAACUUCCGGUGGAGCGGUGAAAUGUGUUGAUAUCGGAAGGAACACCGGUGGCGAAAGCGGCGUACUGGGGCUCAACUGACGCUGAGGCACGAAAGCCAGGGGAGCGAACGGG
rnacentral:rRNA from 1 species